GAUGGAUAAAGGGUGUUCCUCC
rnacentral:siRNA from 1 species